AGAGUUUGAUCCUGGCUCAGGACGAACGCUGGCGGCGUGCUUAACACAUGCAAGUCGAGCGAGGCCCUUCCUUCGGGAAGGUGCCCUAGCGGCGAACGGGUGAGUAACACGUGGGCAAUCUGCCCUCAGCUCUGGGAUAAGCCCGGGAAACCGGGUCUAAUACCGGAUACGACCAUCGGUGGCAUCUCCUGAUGGUGGAAAGAUUUAUCGGCUGAGGAUGAGCCCGCGGCCUAUCAGCUUGUUGGUGGGGUAACGGCCCACCAAGGCAACGACGGGUAGCCGGCCUGAGAGGGCGACCGGCCACACUGGGACUGAGACACGGCCCAGACUCCUACGGGAGGCAGCAGUGGGGAAUAUUGCGCAAUGGGCGAAAGCCUGACGCAGCGACGCCGCGUGAGGGAUGACGGCCUUCGGGUUGUAAACCUCUUUCAGCAGGGACGAAGCGAAAGUGACGGUACCUGCAGAAGAAGCACCGGCCAACUACGUGCCAGCAGCCGCGGUAACACGUAGGGUGCAAGCGUUGUCCGGAAUUAUUGGGCGUAAAGAGCUCGUAGGCGGCCUGUCACGUCGACUGUGAAAACCUAGGGCUCAACCCUGGGCCUGCAGUCGAUACGGGCAGGCUUGAGUGUGGUAGGGGAGACUGGAACACCUGGUGUAGCGGUGAAAUGCGCAGAUAUCAGGUAGAACACCGGUGGCGAAGGCGGGUCUCUGGGCCAUUACUGACGCUGAGGAGCGAAAGCGUGGGGAGCGAACAGGAUUAGAUACCCUAGUAGUCC
rnacentral:rRNA from 1 species